ensembl:lncRNA
GGGCUCCUGGUGGGUGUGGUCACUGAGGGGAGGGACUCCUGGUGGGUGUGGUCACUGAGGGGAGGGGCUCCUGGUGGGUGUGGUCACUAAGAGGAGGGACUCCUGGUGGGUGUGGUCACCAAGGGGAGGAUAUCCUGGUGGGUGUGGUCACUAAGGGGAGGGGCUCCUGGUGGAUGUGGUCACUAAGGGGAGGAGCUCCUGGUGGGUGUGGUCACUAAGGGGAGGGGCUCCUGGUGGGUGUGGUCACUGAGGGGAGGGGCUCCUGGUGGGUGUGGUCACUGAGGGAGGGGCUCCUGGUGGGUGUGGUCACAGAGGGGAGGAGCUCCUGGUGUGUGUGGUCACUGAGGGGAGGGGCUUCUGGUGGGUUUGGUCACAGAGGGGUGGGGCUGCCUUGAUUCAGCCUUGGUGAAUUAACUGGUGCUUUUUUAUUGGUUGCCGCCUUCACCGUGUCCCACAGUAAAAGAAGACAAACUCCAAGCUCAGUCCCGUCGGGAUGUGUUCAGGGUUCCAGGACCUCUUCCUCCCCUGUGUUAAGGAGAAAGAUACAACCUCAGAAAGCCUGCUCACAGUCCGAUGUGUGAGUUACGGGAAGAGACGGGGAGGCGUGGAGAAGCACAGCCCGUGUGCGUCUGACGUGAAAUGCUGCCCGGUGAGGUGGACGUCCUGGAGGAUCUGUGAAGACUGGAUGAGAGGACUCAGAACCAUCGCUCCUGGAGGAGACGGAGGGACGGGUUCCUGCGAGCCACCCUCGUGUUGCUGUAAGCUGAUCAGUCCAUGGCCCUGUUCCUGUGCACUUGUAAGAUCUGCAGUCUCACACACAGACACACAAGCACACACGUGCACACACACACGGAUGCACAGGCACACACAUGCACACAAGCACACAAUGCACACACACAGGCACACAAGCACACACAUGUGCACACACACACAAAGAUGCACUGGCACACACAUGCACACAAUACACACAGGCACACAAGCACACACAUGUGCACACACAGACGCUGAAGCACACAAAUGCACACAAGCACACACAUGCACAGAAACAUGCACACAAAUAUACACGAGCUCACAAGCACACACAAUCACACAAAUACACACAGUCAUAAGCUCACACAAAUACAUUAAAAAGUUCACCAGAAAAUGGAAUUAAAAGAUAAUUAUUAUUUUGGUGCAAAAAUUUUUGAAAUUUAUGAACAGUGUUUUGAACAUACAUUUUUUUGUGAAUUUAUUAAGGAUUUCUUGAAUGCAUGGAUUCUGAAAAAAUUGAAUCAAAAGGAAUAUUUUUUUAAAGACUUAUCUAUUUAUUUAAGAGGCAGAGUUACAGACAGAGAGGGGGAGAGAAAGGUCUUUCAUCUGCUGGUUCACUCCCCAAAUGACUGUGAUGGCCAGAGCUGGGCCCAUCUGAAUCCAGGAGUCAGGAGCUUCUUCUGGGUCUCCCAUAUGGGUACCGAUGGGUUGGGCCAUCUUUCUGCUACUUUCCCAGGAGCACUAGUAGGGAGCUGGAUAGGAACUGGAGUACCUGGGACUCGAACCAGUGCCCAUAUGAGAUGCCAGCACUGCAGGUGGAGGCUUGACCUGCUAUGCCACAGCUCUGGCCCAAGAAAGAUCUUUUAAUUCUAUUUUCAUGAACUUUUGAAAUGUGUGUAUAUGUGUAUCUAUGUGCUUGUGUCUAUGAUGUAUAUGUGGGUAUGUUUACAUGUGCAUGCAUGCACACGUCUAUGUGAGUCCACAUAUGUGUCAAUACAUAUGUAUGUAUGUGUUACUGUAUGUGCG